rnacentral:rRNA from 1 species
UCGUGGGGUGACUUGUCUGCUUAAUUGCGAUAACGAGCGAGACCUUACUCUGCUAAAUAGCCCGGCUAGCUUUGGCUGGUCGCCGGCUUCUUAGAGAGACUAUCAACUCAAGUUGAUGGAAGUUUGAGGCAAUAACA